rnacentral:rRNA from 1 species
CUGAGACUUUAGGUCUCCUGAAGGAACGUUGAAGACGACGACGUUGAUAGGCCGGGUGUGUAAGCGCAGCGAUGCGUUGAGCUAACCGGUACUAAUGAACCGUGAGGCUUAACCUU